AGCUAAGGAAAACCCUCGCGCCCCUGGAGACGAGACCGGGUAGCAUCCAUCCAGCACCCGGAGGUGGUGGUUGGUAGUGGGGGGGUUGGAGAAGAAAACCUCCCCUUGCGCGCGCGCACGCACGCUCCGGAACCCCGCACCUACCCGGGUCCGACCGACCCGCACCUGCCUGCCUCCUCGCAGGCUCCGCGGGGUGCGCGGCGGUGCCCCCUGCAACCGGGGCACGGCGCUCCUGGGCUGCUGCUGGACAUCCCCAAAGGAGGCGGGGAGCAGGAGGAGGAGGAGGAAGAGAAGAAGGAGGAGGAGGAGGAGGAGGAGGAGGUGGAGGGCGGCGCGCAGGGCGGAGAAGGGAAGCCAGAAAGUAGCAGAAAGUGAGGCUGGCUGGCGGCGGGCGGCAGGAAGUCGGGGUGCCCCAAAACGCAGCCCGAUUGCCAGGCGGCGAGAGUGAAAGAGGAAGGAAACUGCAGGGGAGGAAGCGCAGCCGCAGCCUAGGGUGGUGUUGGGGGGCCUGGGCCGAGCAUCCCCACCGCUGAGCAUCCAUCUCCACGGGGCUCCGCGCGCAGCCGCCUCCAUCCGUGCGCCCCUUCCCCAGCGCGCACCAACCCGGGGUCACCCCCGCGCGCCCCUCGGCUGCCAUGGCCCGGGAGAACGGCGAGAGCAGCGCGUCCUGGAAGAAGCCAGCCGAGGACAUCAAGAAGAUCUUCGAGUUUAAGGAGACCCUCGGCACCGGGGCAUUCUCCGAAGUGGUCUUAGCUGAAGAGAAGGCGACGGGAAAGCUAUUUGCUGUGAAGUGCAUCCCCAAAAAGGCGCUGAAGGGCAAAGAAAGUAGCAUCGAGAAUGAGAUCGCCGUGCUGAGGAAAAUUAAGCAUGAGAAUAUCGUGGCCCUGGAAGACAUCUAUGAAAGCCCGAAUCACCUGUACCUGGUAAUGCAGCUGGUAUCUGGAGGGGAGCUGUUCGACCGCAUCGUGGAGAAGGGCUUUUACACGGAGAAGGACGCCAGCACCCUCAUCCGCCAGGUGCUGGAUGCUGUGUACUACUUGCACAGGAUGGGCAUCGUGCACCGGGACCUCAAGCCUGAGAACCUACUGUACUACAGUCAGGAUGAGGAAUCCAAGAUCAUGAUCAGCGACUUUGGGCUGUCCAAGAUGGAGGGCAAAGGCGACGUCAUGUCCACAGCCUGUGGCACGCCGGGCUACGUGGAUCUGACGCUUUCCGCUUGUGUCUCUGUACCCUCCCAGCUCCCGAAGUCCUGGCUCAGAAACCCUACAGCAAAGCCGUGGACUGCUGGUCCAUCGGGGUCAUCGCCUACAUCCUGCUCUGCGGCUACCCACCCUUCUAUGAUGAGAACGACUCCAAGCUCUUUGAACAGAUCCUCAAGGCCGAGUAUGAGUUUGACUCCCCCUACUGGGACGACAUUUCCGACUCAGCCAAGGACUUCAUUCGGAAUCUCAUGGAGAAAGACCCCAAUAAAAGAUACACGUGUGAGCAGGCAGCUCGGCACCCGUGGAUCGCUGGGGACACAGCCCUCAGCAAAAACAUCCAUGAGUCUGUCAGUGCGCAAAUCCGGAAGAACUUCGCCAAAAGCAAGUGGAGACAAGCAUUCAAUGCCACGGCCGUCGUGAGGCACAUGCGGAGACUUCAGCUGAGCAGUGGCCUGGACAGUAGCAACGCCGGUGUGUCCGGAGGCCUCAGCCUGGCCAGCCAAAAAGACUGUGCGCCUGGCCCCAUCCACGCUGUGUAGUCUCAUCUCCUCCUCCACGACAGAUCGAAGACCCCGGCCCACCACUGUGACCACUGCGCACUCGGGGAGCAAGUGACGGGCUCAGGAGUGCAGCCCCCCACCUGCAUGGCGCCCACCCAGGGCUGGGAGACGUUUUUUUAUGGCCAUAUUUUAUACUGCGACUCUCCAGUGUUGUUUCUCACACACUGAACCUGCCUCAGGGGGGCCGAGUCAGGAUCCGGUGCUGCCCCUCGGACCCACGCAGGCUCUGAUGGGAUGGUCGGCCCCUCUGCACCCCCCCCCCCCAGUUCUGGCCUUCCCCUCCCCUCGGUCGAGGUCACCAUCCGAGUCAUUCUUGUUCUUUUUUUCCUAAUGUCAACCACGGUUUCAACUGGAUCGUUUCUGGAGUGAGUGCCGCGCGCUCCCCAAUUCCUCUGUGACUCUGUCCUGUCCCACUCACCUCUCCUGGGCUUCAGGGAAAGCUUGGACCAUUUUUUUUUUUAUUUCUUCCCUCCAAAGGGGGAUCAUUUUAGUGUUGAUUCUUUGGGGGAGGGGUCUCUGUCACCUCAUUGCUCAUUCUGGGACUGGUUGCCCAUCUCUGCUGCCAAGGCUGCUCUGUUCCUCUUCCCUCUCACACAUGGCCAGCACCCAGAAUCCGUACUGCUCUGCGAGAGGCCAAGAGGACCCCAAGAAGUCCCCCCCCCCUCUGCACCUUCUUGCCAUAUGUGGUCAGAAUGUCAGCAGCAGCUCCUGGAGAUGAAGGCAACAUUUGAGAAGUUGAAGGAGAUACCCCACACACACACUUAGGAAAGACGUGAUGGGUGACCGGGUGGCCAGGAAGGCCUUGUACCCCGGUGCCCUCUGUGAAUUCACCCCGUUUUCUAACACGUCUGUUUGUAACCUUCUACUGUAAAUGACUCCACUGGCUGCCUGUUGCUUCUGUCAAUACUGGCCAGGUUCUUCCUGGCAUGCUCUCUCGUUCUCUCAUUCUGUCUCUUUCUCUCUUCUCUGGGGCUGGGUGGUCCCCCUUUGUUGGGGGUGGCAGGAGGGCUGAGCCCCAAGCUGGCUGGCGUGGAGAGGGCAGGGCAAGCAUGUCAAAACCCAGUGCCUGUGCAACCAGGACGGAGGGACUGCACAUCAGAAUGGCGGUGCUGUGGGCCAGGGACACUGGCCUGUGACCCCCCCAUGGUGGGCAGGCCCAGUAUGCUAUGGCUAAUGCAGCAUGAUGCCUGACCUUGUGGCUUUCAGAGCAUGCAUGAACAUA